rnacentral:lncRNA from 1 species
GCUGCAUCUGAAAGGUGAGGGUGCAUGGGAUGGAAGAGGAUCUAGCGGGUGGACGUGAUCACAGCAGCUGCAUCUGGAAGGCGAGGGUGCAUGGGAUGGAAGCAGAUCUGGUGGGUGGAGGUGAGGACUACUGCAGCUGCAUCUGGAAGGUCAAACGCUCAGAGCCAUAUGUGGCUCGAGGCUGCCAUGUUGCACAGUGCAAAUCCACAGAGCGUUUCAUCCAAUGGUAUUGCCCUUGAAGGUGGGCAUUCCACAGCCCGCGGCCCUGACGAGGGAAAUGCACAGAGCCUCCUCCUGACCCGCAGCGCACAUGUGAGGAUUCCAAAUAAAGUUGCAGACUCCAUGUUCUUAGGGGAAGAGAGCGUAACUCCCGCUGCUUAAGUGAAGCCCAUGCAUAGUGACUUUGCUCCAGUGAGUCUGGAAAGCGGGACAAGGGAGUAACUUUCCUGUGGAGAAACCUGGCAGAGGCCACGACCGCCAGAUCAUCAGAAAAACCCCAACUGAGAGAAAUUCUACAGCAUGCCUGACCAUUACUCUUCAAAACUAUCCCAGUCAUCGAAAACAAGGAA